UACGUAGGGUGCAAGCGUUGUCCGGAAUUAUUGGGCGUAAAGAGCUCGUAGGCGGUUUGUCGCGUCUGCUGUGAAAUCCCGAGGCUCAACCUCGGGUCUGCAGUGGGUACGGGCAGACUAGAGUGUGGUAGGGGAGAUUGGAAUUCCUGGUGUAGCGGUGGAAUGCGCAGAUAUCAGGAGGAACACCGAUGGCGAAGGCAGAUCUCUGGGCCGAUACUGACGCUGAGGAGCGAAAGCGUGGGGAGCGAACAGG
rnacentral:rRNA from 1 species